rnacentral:rRNA from 1 species
GUAGCUUGUUGGUGGGGUAAAGGCUUACCGAGGCGAUGAUCAGUAGCUGGUCUGAGAGGAUGAUCAGCCACACUGGGACUGAGACACGGCCCAGACUCCUACGGGAGGCAGCAGUGAGGAAUUUUCCGCAAUGGGCGAAAGCCUGACGGAGCAAUGCCGCGUGAAGGAUGAAGGCCUAUGGGUUGUAAACUUCUUUUCUCAGAGAAGAAUUUUUGACGGUAUCUGAGGAAUAAGCAUCGGCUAACUCUGUGCCAGCAGCCGCGGUAAGACAGAGGAUGCAAGCGUUAUCCGGAAUGAUUGGGCGUAAAGCGUCUGUAGGUGGCUUAAAAAGUCUUCUGUCAAAGAUCAGGGCUUAACCCUGGGCCGGCAGGAGAAACUCUUAGGCUAGAGUUUGGUAGGGGCAGAGGGAAUUCCCGGUGGAGCGGUGAAAUGCGU